UGUCAUUCUAAGGUUGCUUGAAUGAUUCAUGGAAGUUAGAAGCUGGGGAAUCUCAAAGAAUGUAUCUUAUGGAAAUCCCAGUAUUGGCAUGUUUGAGUCAGAUUGUCGAGAUCCAAUAGAGAAAAUCAAUAGAAUGAAGGGCAGAAAGAAACUAGCCCACAUAUUUCUUUUCCCAGAAAAUUGAUAUAUUCUCGUGGACUCCAUGGCUGCUGAAUGGCUCUCUCUAUUUGGUGGAACAGGAAGGGAGCAAGCAGGAAACGACAAGGUGAGAGAUGAUUGCAGAGGAGCGGAGAAAGGAAUGGUGCAAAAUUAGAGCAGUGGGUGAACGAUGGUUGCCGCCGAGCAACCAGCAGCAGGUACGAGCUGGUAUAUGGUGCCUUGAUGGCAGUGGGUGGACAAUUGUCGCC